rnacentral:rRNA from 1 species
UGAGGAAUAUUGGUCAAUGGACGGAAGUCUGAACCAGCCAAGUAGCGUGCAGGAUGACGGCCCUACGGGUUGUAAACUGCUUUUGUAUGGGGAUAAAGUUAGGGACGUGUCCCUAUUUGCAGGUACCAUACGAAUAAGGACCGGCUAAUUCCGUGCCAGCAGCCGCGGUAAUACGGAAGGUCCAGGCGUUAUCCGGAUUUAUUGGGUUUAAAGGGAGCGUAGGCUGGAUAUUAAGUGUGUUGUGAAAUGUAGACGCUCAACGUCUGACUUGCAGCGCAUACUGGUUUCCUUGAGUACGCACAACGUUGGCGGAAUUUGUCGUGUAGCGGUGAAAUGCUUAGAUAUGACGAAGAACUCCGAUUGCGAAGGCAGCUGACGGGAGCGCAACUGACGCUUAAGCUCGAAGGUGCGGGUAUCAAACAGG